rnacentral:rRNA from 1 species
GUGCUUCGCACUAGUCUCUUUCUGGGGUUGUUACCUUAGAGCUGCCUACUGAAGUUGUUGCUUUAAAGCAGGGUUUUAGGGGACGUUUCCCCCAAAGGGGCCAGUGCGGAGCACUGGCUAGUGGCGAACGGGUGAGUAACACGUGGGUAAUCUGCCCUCGAGUGGGGAAUAAGCUUCCGAAAGGGGGUCUAAUGCCGCAUAAUAACGAGAUACCGCAUGGUAUUUUGUUCAAAGAUUUAUCGGUCAUGGAUGGGCAUGCGUUCCAUUAGGUAGUUGGCGGGGCAACGGCCCACCAAGCCAUCGAUGGAUAGGGGUUCUGAGAGGAAGGUCCCCCACACUGGUACUGAGACACGGACCAGACUCCUACGGGAGGCAGCAGUGAGGAAUAUUGGUCAAUGGGCGAGAGCCUGAGCCAGCCAAAUCGCGUGAAGGAUGAAGGUAUUAUGUAUUGUAAACUUCUUUUACAGGGGAAUAAAGUGCGGGACGUGUCCCGUUUUGUAUGUACCCUGAGAAUAAGGAUCGGCUAACUCCGUG